rnacentral:misc_RNA from 1 species
GAUGAAGAACGCAGCGAAAUGCGAUAAGUAAUGUGAAUUGCAGAAUUCAGUGAAUCAUCGAAUCUUUGAACGCACAUUGCGCCCCCUGGUAUUCCGGGGGGCAUGCCUGUUCGAGCGUCAUUUCACCACUCAAGCCUCGCUUGGUAUUGGGCAACGCGGUCCGCCGCGUGCCUCAAAUCGACCGGCUGGGUCUUCUGUCCCCUAAGCGUUGUGGAAACUUUCGCUAAAGGGUGUUCGGGAGGCUACGCCGUAAAACAACCCCAUUUCUAAGGUUGACCUCGGAUCAGGUAGGGAUACCCGCUGAACUUAAGCAUAUCAAUAAGUGGAGGA